rnacentral:rRNA from 1 species
CCUACGGGGGGCUGCAGUAAGGAAUAUUGGUCAAUGGACGAAAGUCUGAACCAGCCAUGCCGCGUGAAGGAUGAAGGCCCUCUGGGUUGUAAACUUCUUUUAUAGGGGACGAAAAAAGCUCAUUCUUGAGCACUUGACGGUACCCUAGGAAUAAGCACCGGCUAACUCCGUGCCAGCAGCCGCGGUAAUACGGAGGGUGCAAGCGUUAUCCGGAUUUACUGGGUUUAAAGGGUGCGUAGGUGGGCAGUUAAGUCAGCGGUGAAAUCUCCGGGCUUAACCCGGAAACUGCCAUUGAUACUAUCUGUCUUGAAUAUCCUGGAGGUGAGCGGAAUAUGUCAUGUAGCGGUGAAAUGCUUAGAUAUGACAUAGAACACCAAUUGCGAAGGCAGCUCGCUACGGGAUUAUUGACACUGAGGCACGAAAGCGUGGGGAUCAAACAGGAUUAGAUACCCCUGUAGUC